CUUGGAUCAUACGAGUGGCUUUCCUCUGGACUCUCUCAAGCUUCUCCACAUCCUCCAUGAAGUGGGGGUCCCCAAUACUGGAUGCAGUACUCCAGCUGUGGUCUUAACCAUGGCAGGGUCAAAAAUCAAUAAAGUUCACAAAGUAAUAUUUUAGAGCCCUAAUUAGUUUAAUUAAAGAGACAUGAGUGGGCUGUGCCUCACUGCUGUUGGCUAAAAAAUAAAAAUCCUUUUCAACUUUCCUUGGCUCAUUUUCAGUCCCAUCUCUGCUGACAGGCAUUUAUGAAGAAGUGUUAGACAUCAAUUUGUCCAGCUUCUAGUAUAUCACAGCAUCAGAUGUGCCUUCUGGAAAGAGCGGCUAUGUACAAAGACCAGGAGGUACAAUAAAAAGGAGGAACAAAGAACGUUAGCACCGAUGCCUUUUAAACCCUGUGAUAAAACUGCAACACAGCAUGAAGUCACUUGGAACCGAGUCACUUCUGCCGUGUAUAGGAAAUAGCUACCUCUCUUCCCGGACAUGUUCGCCUCUGGUCUCUCCCAGGCUCAGAACAGCUGGACAUGUCCACCUGGGGAGGUGGGGAUGCUUUUUUCUGUUUACAUCUCAGGUUGCUGGCUCACUACUAUUGGUGGCCGUUUAGGAAAAGGGAGGGGGGAGCAAGAAAUGAGAGGCUGGGGAUGCUGCCCCCUAUCACAUGAUGGAAAUUUCCACUCUUUAGAAAGCAGAAGGAAAAAAAGAAAAGAAAAAGAAAAGAAAAGCGAGCUGGGGUCACAAGGCACACUUUGUAACACUCCUCGAAAGGACCUUGCCAAUGCACACGUGCUUCAUCCCCCCAAAAGAAUUUGCCAAAGCCGAGCUGAAAACACUGUUGGCAGUUCCACAAAGUACCAUCAAUGA
rnacentral:lncRNA from 1 species